CCACCCUUUCGGUCCUUUUUUGAUACCAACGAUUUUAUACUACUGAUGAGGAACCGAGACGGAAUCGGAGAACCGGGGCGGGUAGCGGUGUCGAAUCCCAAUCUCCCACGCUUUGCUUCGGUGGACGGCGCCCCUUCCUCCUAUCGCAUCCAACGUGGCCAUGCCCACCCGAUCAGCUACAAACGACGAAAUCCAAUUCCUGCCCUUCAUACGAAAGACCCUCUGGUUCAUGCUGAGGUGGCAAGUUUUUAAUGGUUAAUUAUGCUGUUUGGAAACGGCUGUUUAAUCUUUUAUCCGUGGUGUGUGAUGGGAAACGGUUGUCCACGUGCCCGCACGCGUUGGGCUCACACGGGGUUGGGGUCGACGCCUCUCGGCCUUGCGUCUCCCGUGGGCCACUGGAACCCGAGUGGUUGGAUUCCUCGUUGCGUGGGCAAACUAAGCGCUCGUCCAACAACAGCCACCUUUGCGUCUACGUGUCCGCGGUGGGCUUCCAGAUCGGAAGACCACCGAACCCGAUUCUUCUCCAUCGAUUCCGAUCCAUCUCUAUUCGGCUAGUCUUCUUGAUGGACCACGGCAAGCUUGCCGGCCAUCCACCGCCACCGGCACCGCAGCAGCAAGGGUUCCAGGGACUGGGUGAUCGUCCCCGUCGAACACAUCUCACCGAUCCGCCUCUGCCGGGCCCUCGGCAAGGCGCUAUGCUAACGAUCUGAACCAGGCAUCAUCCGGUCUGUGAUGGAGCUUCCCAAACCCUUAGGUCACAAGGAUGCGAUCCUCAACGUGCUUUGCUUAGUACCAUAAGAAAUCGGGAGAAAGGCAGGCGGCGCUGCUGGAAAUUUGUGGCACCAUCUUCAAUUCAUGCUGUCAGGAAAUCUCCAACUGUGUUAGCACUCUUCUGAUCUGAGGAUUCAAGCCUUGCUGCGAGCAUAGCCAACUGACCUUUCACGCUCAGAUCAAUAAUAUGCGACCCAUCGUCACAGUAGCUAAUGACAAAGCCUGCAAUCAGCGAUGGAUCGACAAUGUUUUCCAGUCUCAAUUUUCUGAACCCUGUCAGCCUCUGCAUCUUUCUUGAGAUGAGAUUGAUCUGCCUAUCAUCCAAUUUCACAGCAGAAGAGACAGAAAUGACAAGAACAUCACUUGGCUUGGAAGAGUUUUGAUCGCCCUCUUUGCUGGCAUCUUGUGUCACACUGAACUUCUCUUCCUCCAUGAUAGCAUGCAUGAAACUCGGAGUUAAGGGCUGAAACUGAAACUCCAGGCCGCACAC